UUUCGGCCUAUAAAAAAGCUUUUUAAUUAGGUGGUGUUAUUUGGUUGGCUCGAAAUUUUGACACUUAUUUUAGUGAUUGAAUUAUAAUAAAAUGGAUUUUCAGAUGUUUUGGUGAUAUGAGUUUGGAGUGUGUAAUUGAAUAUUAGCUGGAUGAUUGCGUGGUCUUAAGUUGAGUAAAGGAGCUACUGGGGAUAAGUUUGUGAAUUUGGUUUUUUUUGUUUGCUUAAUAAGCAACUAGACAAACGAAAGGAAACAAGGACAAUCGGAAACUUAUAAGAGGAGGACACUUCUCGGUUACUUGAGAAAUGGGAAUUAAAUGGCUGGCCAGAAUCGAACAAAAAACUUA